GAGUUUGAUCCUGGCUCAGAUUGAACGCUGGCGGCAGGCCUAACACAUGCAAGUCGAGCGGUAGAGAGAAGCUUGCUUCUCUUGAGAGCGGCGGACGGGUGAGUAAUGCCUAGGAAUCUGCCUGGUAGUGGGGGAUAACGUUCGGAAACGGACGCUAAUACCGCAUACGUCCUACGGGAGAAAGCAGGGGACCUUCGGGCCUUGCGCUAUCAGAUGAGCCUAGGUCGGAUUAGCUAGUUGGUGAGGUAAUGGCUCACCAAGGCGACGAUCCGUAACUGGUCUGAGAGGAUGAUCAGUCACACUGGAACUGAGACACGGUCCAGACUCCUACGGGAGGCAGCAGUGGGGAAUAUUGGACAAUGGGCGAAAGCCUGAUCCAGCCAUGCCGCGUGUGUGAAGAAGGUCUUCGGAUUGUAAAGCACUUUAAGUUGGGAGGAAGGGUUGUAGAUUAAUACUCUGCAAUUUUGACGUUACCGACAGAAUAAGCACCGGCUAACUCUGUGCCAGCAGCCGCGGUAAUACAGAGGGUGCAAGCGUUAAUCGGAAUUACUGGGCGUAAAGCGCGCGUAGGUGGUUCGUUAAGUUGGAUGUGAAAUCCCCGGGCUCAACCUGGGAACUGCAUUCAAAACUGACGAGCUAGAGUAUGGUAGAGGGUGGUGGAAUUUCCUGUGUAGCGGUGAAAUGCGUAGAUAUAGGAAGGAACACCAGUGGCGAAGGCGACCACCUGGACUGAUACUGACACUGAGGUGCGAAAGCGUGGGGAGCAAACAGGAUUAGAUACCCUGG
rnacentral:rRNA from 1 species